rnacentral:rRNA from 1 species
UCGCCUGUUUAUCAAAAACAUAGCCUUAAGAAAUAUAAUUUAAGGUAAAGCCUGCCCACUGAUAAUAUUUUUAACGGCCGCGGUAUCCUGACCGUGCAAAGGUAGCAUAAUCAUUUGUCUUGUAAUUUAAGACUAGAAUGAAUGGUUAAACGAAAAAGACACUGUGCCUUUUAUUUUUGAAAAAUAUAAUUAAAAGUUAAAAUGCUUUUAUAGACAAAAAAGACAAGAAGACCCUAUAGAGCUUUAUUUUUAAAACCUAUAAAAUUUAGCUGGGGCGGCAAGAAAAUUCAAAAAACUUUUCUAUUUCACAGGUAAUUUAACCUUAAGAUCCUCUAAUGAAAAAUAGAAAAAGCUACCUUAGGGAUAACAGACUAAUUUUAAUAAAGAGUUCACAUCAAAAUUAAAGAUUGGCACCUCGAUGUUGGCUUAGGGUUCUUUCUUCCUGCAGCAGAAAAGAAAUAGUGGUUUGUUCAACCAUUAAACCCCUACAUGAUCUGAGUUCAAACCGGAG